rnacentral:lncRNA from 1 species
CCUGCUUCCGUCACAAGCCUCAUGUAACUGUGGGGAGAUUGCUUGCACCCCUGUGCCUCUGUCUGCAUCAGAAAAAUAAUGAACAGAAAUGCAGUGAGGUACAGCACACAGCCUGGAGAAAGACUCUGCAGCACUUGGUGUGGUGAUCUUGUGAAGGGCUUAUCUGAUCCAGAAGUAUCAGUCCUACUGAUCUCACUUUUCUUUGCAUCUGCAAGCCACAGGAUUUUAGACUGAGACUCUUACCUCAGGUAAGUUCUGGUUGAAUUAUGGCACAUAUCUUAGGCAUGUAGUAAACUUUAAUUUUUGUUGUUGAUGCUGUUAUGCUCUUCAGCAAUGCAUGCAAAGGGUAAUUACCUUUACCAUAAAAGAUGUGUACUUUCUCUCUAAUCUGGCUUUUUUUCUAGCUUCAUUUUUUUCCCAUCUUUCUGAUAUCUUUUCCCUCUGAAUAAUUGUAGUCUACGAUCAGG